rnacentral:rRNA from 1 species
GACGAACGCUGGCGGCGUGCUUAACACAUGCAAGUCGAACGGAAAGGCCCUGCUUUUGUGGGGUGCUCGAGUGGCGAACGGGUGAGUAACACGUGAGUAACCUGCCCUUGACUUUGGGAUAACUUCAGGAAACUGGGGCUAAUACCGCAUAGGAGCUCCUGCUGCAUGGUGGGGGUUGGAAAGUUUCGGCGGUUGGGGAUGGACUCGCGGCUUAUCAGCUUGUUGGUGGGGUAGUGGCUUACCAAGGCUUUGACGGGUAGCCGGCCUGAGAGGGUGACCGGCGACAUUGGGACUGAGAGACGGCGCAGACUCCUACGGGAGGCAGCAGUGGGGAAUAUUGCACAAUGGGCGGAAGCCUGAUGCAGCAACGCCGCGUGCGGGAUGACGGCCUUCGGGUUGUAAACCGCUUUCGCCUGUGACGAAGCGUGAGUGACGGUAAUGGGUAAAGAAGCACCGGCUAACUACGUG